rnacentral:rRNA from 1 species
GACGAACGCUGGCGGCGUGCCUAAUACAUGCAAGUAGAACGCACAGUUUAUACCGUAGCUUGCUACACCAUAAACUGUGAGUUGCGAACGGGUGAGUAACGCGUAGGUAACAUGACUGGUAUCGGUGGAUAACUAUUGGAAACGAUAGCUAAGAUCUCAUAAUCUUGAUUAUUGCAUGAUAAUUGAUUGAAAUAUGCUAUUGCAUCACUACCAGAUGGACCUGCGUUGUAUUAGCUAGUAGGUGAGGUAACGGCUCACCUAGGCGAUGAUACAUAGCCGACCUUGAAGGGUGAUCGGCCACAACGGGACUGAGAAACGGCCCAGACUCCUACGGGAGGCAGCCGUAGGGAAUCUUCGGCCAUGGACGAAAGUCUGAACGAACAACGGCGCGGGAGUGAAGAAAGUUUUCGGAUCGUAAAGCUCUGUUGUUAGAGAAGGACGGGAGGGAGAGUGGAAAGUUCACACUGUGACGGUAUCUUACCAGAAAGGGACGGCUAACUACGUG